CUAUCACAUCACGUUGAAACAUCGAUUCCCGUAAGAUCACCGAAGUUAAGCAACGUCGAGUCUAGUUAGUACCUAGAUGGGUAACCGCUUGGGAAUACCUGGCGCCGUAAG